ACAUGCCUACAACAUAGCGUUAAUGCACCGGAUCCCAUUAAAACUCCGCAGUUAACUGCGCUCAGGCUAGAGUAGUACUGGGAUGGGUGAUCACCCGGGAAGUCCUAGUGUUUUACAUGCC
rnacentral:rRNA from 1 species